AUGGCUCGAUUGAGCUUUUCGUCCACUCGCCAGUUCAUGGCAAUUCGACUUGUGCGAUGGCGAAUGAUUCUUCUGAUGCUCGUAGUAGCAGCCGCAGCACUAUGGUGGUCAUCAUCGCGGCCGCGGAUGCAUCCCGUGGUGCUGGUGCCGGGCUACGCUAGCAACGAGCUCGACGCGCGGCUCACCGAGCUGUACCGGCCAGGGUGCGGCGCGCGCAAGGGGAAGAGGACCGGCUGGUUCCGCCUCUUCCUCAACUACACGGCUCUCCACGACGACCCCGACGGCGUCCGGUGCUUCGCCGAGCAGAUGAGCACGGCGUACGACGCCGCGUCCGACGACUACUACAACGUCCCCGGCGUGGAGACGCGCGUCCCCUUCUUCGGCUCCACACGGGGAUUCCGCCACCCAGAUCCAGACCGGAGGAACUUCUCCUACAUGGACAAGCUGCUGGAGAGGCUCGAGGCGGCCGGGUACCGCGACGGCGAGACCAUGUUCGGCGCGCCCUACGACUUCCGCUACGCCGUCGCGCCGGCGGGACACCCGUCCAGAACCGGCACCGCCUUCUUCGCGAGCCUCAAGAGCCUGGUGGAGAGGGCGAGCCAGCUCAACGGCGACCGCCCGGCGAUUAUCGUCACCCACAGCUACGGCGGCACGCUGGCGCAGCAGUUCCUGAUCCGGCAGCCCCUGGCGUGGCGCCGGCGGUUCGUGCGGCACUUCAUCCCCGUCGCCGCUCCGUGGGGCGGGCUCGUGCUGGGCAUGCAGGCCCUCAUCUCAGGCAACAACCUCGCCCUCCCCUUCGUCGACCCCGGGGCCCUGCGGAAGGAGUACCGCAGCCUGCAGAGCAGCCUGUGGCCGCUGCCCAAUGCGAAGGUGUUCGGAGCCGGGCAGCCACUGGUGAGCACCAAGCGCCGGAACUACACGGCCGGCGACGUGGUGGACUUCCUCGUCGACAUCGGGUUCGGCGAAGGCGUCGGGCCGUACGAGUCGCGCGUGCUGCCCUUGUUCAAGGAGCUGCCGGCCUGUCCGAGGGUGCCGGUGACCUGCGUCGUCGGGGUCGGGGUGGCGACGCCGGAGAGGAUGGUGUACCCGGGGGACGAUUUCGAGGCGACGCCCGGCGUGGUUGUUGGGGACGGCGACGGCCUGGUCAACCUGGCGAGCCUGGUGGCCGUGGAGCCGGAGUGGAGGCGUGGUGGUCCGUAUUUUAAGAUGGUCAAGGUGGCCAACGUGAACCACACGGACAUUCUGGUUAAUGAUCGCGCGCUUGGGAUUGUGAUGAGAGAAAUUCUACGAGCUAAUUAG
rnacentral:rRNA from 1 species